AGCGAACGCUGGCGGCAGGCUUAACACAUGCAAGUCGAACGCCCCGCAAGGGGAGUGGCAGACGGGUGAGUAACACGUGGGAACGUACCCUUUGGUUUGGAAUAACUUGGGGAAACUCAAGCUAAUACCGGAUAAGCCCUUGUGGGGAAAGGUUUACUGCCGAAGGAUCGGCCCGCGUCUGAUUAGCUAGUUGGUGAGGUAAUGGCUCACCAAGGCGACGAUCAGUAGCUGGUCUGAGAGGAUGAUCAGCCACACUGGGACUGAGACACGGCCCAGACUCCUACGGGAGGCAGCAGUGGGGAAUAUUGGACAAUGGGGGCAACCCUGAUCCAGCCAUGCCGCGUGAGUGAUGAAGGCCUUAGGGUUGUAAAGCUCUUUUACCCGGGACGAUAAUGACUGUACCGGGAGAAUAAGCCCCGGCUAACUUCGUGCCAGCCGCCGCAGUAA
rnacentral:rRNA from 1 species